UACGAGGGGUGCAAGCGUUGUUCGGAAUCACUGGGCGUAAAGCGUGUCUAGGCGGGUUGAUAAGUCUGUUGUGAAAGCCCUCGGCUCAACCGGGGAUGUGCAAUGGAGACUGUUGAUCUUGAGUGAUGGAGAGAUGGGCGGAAUUCCGGGUGGUAGCAGUGAAAUGCGUAGAUAUCCGGAGGAACACCAGAGGCGAAGGCGGCAUCCUGGACCGGCAUUGACGCUGAGGCACGAAAGCGUGGGGGAGCAAAAGGG
rnacentral:rRNA from 1 species